rnacentral:rRNA from 1 species
GAUGAACGCUGGCGGCGUGCCUAAUACAUGCAAGUCGAGCGAACGGACGAGAAUCUUGCUUUUCUGAUGUUAGCGGCUGACGUGUGAUUAGCACUUUUAUAACCUACCUAUAAUACUGGUAUAACUUCGGGAAACCGUAGCUAAUACCGUAUAAUAUUUUGCACCGCAUGGUUCAAACGUUAAAGACGGUCUUUCUGUCUCUUAUAGAUUGAUCCGCUCUGCAUUAGCUAGUUGGUAAGGUAACUGCUUACCAAGGCAACGAUGCAUAGCCGACCUGAGAGGGUGAUCGGCCACACUGGAACUGAGACACGGACCAGAAUACUACGGGAGGCAGCAGUAGGGAAUAUUCCGCAAUGGGCGAAAGCAUGACGGAGCAACGCCGCGUGAGGGAUGAAGGUCUUAGGAUCGUAAAAAUCUGUUAUUAGGGAAGAACAUAUGUGUAAGUAAAUGUGCACAUAUUGACGGUACCUAAUCAGAAAGCCACGGCUAACUACGUG